rnacentral:piRNA from 1 species
ACAUUGUCAACGGAUCUCAUGAGGCGAA